CUGGCAAACCCGGAAUCACUAACCCGAUAACUCUGAAGCAUCUGAAGAACCAUCCUUCUCUGUACUCGGGACCCUUCCAGUGCGGUUGAAGUAAUUCUUGUUCGGUUCUUCUUCAUCGACCUGAGCGACAAAUAUCAGAUAUUACAUCAGUCCAUACCCCCGAGUUUCGUAUCCCAAAAUCGUGGUAAGUUUGUAUUUUUUAACUGACCUUUCCUCUAUAGAAACUGUCGAAGUAAAGGCAAGGGCCGAAGUGCUUGAACAGGAGUGUCUUAUCGUCGAAAGUGUAAACGCCUUCGAGACUCUUCAGCAUUUUCUCCUCUUCGUGCAUCGCUAACAAGCCCGUGAACAGAAUCGCCAGUGCCCCGCCGAGGCUGUGGCCAGACAGGAUGAAUCUCGAGGUUUAUUUCCUUAGGCCAUCCAUCUUUCUGCAGGCCUAAUGCUUUCAUGAACCCACCAUGGAUCCUUCCCACGUUCUUCAGUUCGUACCUGUUGGAAACACACAUCGAUGCACAUGCCAAAAAAUUAAAA